rnacentral:misc_RNA from 1 species
UUUCCGUAGGUGAACCUGCGGAAGGAUCAUUACUGAGUGAGGGCCCUCUGGGUCCAACGUCCCACCCGUGUUUAUUGUACCUUGUUGCUUCGGUGAGCCCGCCUCACGGCCGCCGGGGGGCAUCUGCCCCCGGGCCCGCGCUGGCCGAAGCCACCGUUGAACUCUGUCUGAAGUUACCAGUCUGAUCGAAUACUAAAGGUGUUAAAACUUUCAACAACGGAUCUCUUGGUUCCG